UCACAUGAAGAUAAAGCCACUGUCUUCUGCUUUUGUGAGUUCCAAGAAACAAGAGCAUCGUUCAAAUAGAAUGCCAUUCCAGCAGUGCUCUUUCGAUCGUCAAGGUUUCCCACUAAAUCACUGUCAGAGUAACCUGUCAAGACAACAUCUCCACCAUUCGCAGGAUAGAACAACCCCCAGUUCAGAGUGCCCUUCAAAUAUCGUAACACUUGUUUAACUGCACUCUGAUGCAUCACGGUUGGUCUUUCCACAAAUCUGCUCAAAACUCCUACCGAAUAUGAGAGAUCCGGACGAGUGUGAAGGAGGUAUCUGAGACAACCAAUGACUCUCCUGUAUUCCGUUGUAUCAACCUCCUGUCCAUCAGAGUCCUUGUGGAGAUAAGACUUCGGCUGCAUGGGAAGUCUUGUAUGAUUGCAAUCUGUCAACCCAAAUUGCAUUAGGACCUUCUUAGCAUAACCUGCUUGCUUCAAUUGAAUGCCUUCCUUUUGUUGAUUCACCUCAAUCCCAAGGUAAUAGCUCAACAAACCAAGAUCAUUCAUCUCAAAUUCUUUCAUCAUCCUCUGCUUGAAGACAUCAAUCUCCUCCGGAUUAUCACCUAUUAUUAACAGGUCAUCAACGUAAACACCAACCAAGAUACUUCCACGAUUCUUCACUUGCUUGUACACGGCUUGAUCAUGUGCACAUCUGUCAAAGCCAAGCUGUUUCAGCGUCUUGUCAAGACAAGUGUUCCAAGCUCUAGGUGCUUGACGUAGCCCGUACAAAGCCUUGUGCAGCUUUAACACCAAAUGAGCUUUUCCCUUCGCCUCGUAUCCUUCCGGUUGUGCAACGUACACGUCCUCCUCAAGUUCGCCAUUGAGAAAAGCGGACUUGACAUCCAAGUGAUAAACAAGCCAUCCCCGAUUAGUAGCAAUAACGAGGAUAAGUCUAACAGUGUCAAGUCUUGCAACAGGGGCAGAGACUUCUUCAAAAUCAUGUCUAGUCAAGACAAGUGUUCCAAGCUCUAGGUGCUUGGCGUAGCCCGUACAAAGCCUUGUGCAGCUUUAACACCAAAUGAGCUUUUCCCUUCGCCUCGUAUCCUUUCGGUUGUGCAACGUACACGUCCUCCUCAAGUUCGCCAUUGAGGAAAGCGGACUUGACAUCCAAGUGAUGAACAAGCCAUCCCCGGUUAGCAGCAAUAGCGAGGAUAAGUCUAACAGUGUCAAGUCUUGCAACAGGGGCAAAGACUUCUUCAAAAUCAACUCCAUGCUGUUGGACAUAUCCCUUUGCAACCAAUCUGGCUUUGUGUUUAAUGUUAAGACAACAUCUCCACCAUUCGCAGGAUAGAACAACCCCCAGUUCAGAGUGCCCUUCAAAUAUCGCAACACUUGUUUAACUGCACUCUGAUGCAUCACGGUUGGUCUUUCCACAAAUCUGCUCAAAACUCCUACCGAAUAUGAGAGAUCCGGACGAGUGUGAAGGAGGUAUCUGAGACAACCAAUGACUCUCCUGUAUUCCGUUGUAUCAACCUCCUGUCCAUCAGAGUCCUUGUGGAGAUAAGACUUCGGCUGCAUGGGAAGUCUUGUAUGAUUGCAAUCUGUCAACCCAAAUUGCAUUAGGACCUUCUUAGCAUAACCUGCUUGCUUCAAUUGAAUGCCUUCCUUUUGUUGAUUCACCUCAAUCCCAAGGUAAUAACUCAACAAACCAAGAUCACUUAUCUCGAAUUCUUUCAUCAUCCUCCGCUUGAAGACAUCAAUCUCCUCUGGAUUAUCACCUGUUAUUAACAGGUCAUCAACGUAAACACCAACCAAGAUACUUCCACGAUUCUUCACUUGCUUGUACACGGCUUGAUCAUGUGCACAUCUGUCAAAGCCAAGCUGUUUCAGCGUCUUGUCAAGACAAGUGUUC
rnacentral:lncRNA from 1 species